GCGCAGCAGGCGAGAAUCCUCCGCAAUACACGAAAGUGUGACGGGGCCAUCCCGAGUGCCGUCCGCUGAGGACGGCUUUUCCCCAGUGUACACAGCUGGGGGAAUAAGGAGAGGGCAAGCCUGGUGUCAGCCGCCGCGGGUAAUACCAGCUCUCCGAGUGGUGGGGACGCUUAUUGGGCCUAAAGCAUCCGUAGCCGGCUGGGCAAGUCCUCCGUUAAAUCCAACGAUUCAAUCGUUGGGCUGC
rnacentral:rRNA from 1 species